ACGAACGCUGGCGGCGUGCCUAAUACAUGCAAGUCGAACGCACUCUCGUUUAGAUUGAAGGAGUUUGCUCCUGAUUGAUAAACAUUUGAGUGAGUGGCGGACGGGUGAGUAACACGUGGGUAACCUGCCCUAAAGUGGGGGAUAACAUUUGGAAACAGAUGCUAAUACCGCAUAAAACCUAACACCGCAUGGUGUAGGGUUGAAAGAUGGUUUCGGCUAUCACUUUAGGAUGGACCCGCGGUGCAUUAGUUAGUUGGUGGGGUAAAGGCUCACCAAGACCGUGAUGCAUAGCCGACCUGAGAGGGUAAUCGGCCACACUGGGACUGAGACACGGCCCAGACUCCUACGGGAGGCAGCAGUAGGGAAUCUUCCACAAUGGACGAAAGUCUGAUGGAGCAACGCCGCGUGAGUGAAGAAGGUUUUCGGAUCGUAAAACUCUGUUGUUGGAGAAGAAUGUAUCUGAUAGUAACUGAUCAGGUAGUGACGGUAUCCAACCAGAAAGCCACGGCUAACUACGUG
rnacentral:rRNA from 1 species